AUGCAUUUUAUAAACAGUUUGCAUUUUGUUGUUGUCUUGGUAACAUUUAAAAUCGGAAAUAAUUUUGGGAAAACUUUUUGCUCUUCAAACGCUAAGGAUCUGUAAAUAAAUGUACGUAAAUCAGAUGUCACAUCACAGAAAUCGGCAAACGGCAUUUAAUCAACAGUUUGCUUGGGUGCAUAUAUUUGUGUAAGUGUUCUUGUAUAUGUUUAUAUGGCAAAUUGCAUAGCAUGUGUUAUAAGCCUCUUCUUCUACUCUCUUCAUGUUUUUCUUAAAUCAUUUAUUAGUUUUUCUUAAGCCUUCAAAGUGCAUCUUAAAAAGAAAAAAAGAAAGAAAGAAAAAAAAAAAAAAAUAAAUAAAACAAAAAAGUAGAAAAUCCGGUGAAGAUAGAACAAGCAUAAAAAUCCAGUCAAGGAAGAGUUUACAUAUAAACACACAUAACAGAACCUUAAACCAUGUGAACGAAUGAGCCGAGACAUCUAAGCAGCAAUAACAACGUUGUUACAUUAAGAAUUAAAGAAAAAGCCUACGAAAGGCAUAUGUGAAGAGAAAAGUCAGCAUUUUACUGGUGAAGAAGCCAAUUGCUUUUGAAAAAAUGUUUUACAAAAAUUAAAACUACAAAAAAAAAAAGAAAAAAAUUUCUUAAGUUAAUUUUAAAAAUUAAUUUUUUUUUUUUUUUUUUGGCUUUUAUGUUAUGAGUUAUGAGUGAUGAUAAAAAUCGAGGAAAAAAUUGUUGAAAUAUUUAAACCCAUCUUUGGUCUAUUGUGUGUGUGUGUGAAUGUAUUCCGGGAAAAUAUAAAUUAAUUUCCUUGAAAAUUUUAUUCUGCGUAUGCCGUUCUAUCUGUACUUGUUGUGCACACACUAUCGUAUAGUGCGUAAUCCAAUUUACACGAAGGUUUCCGAAAUUCUAGUACCGUGUUAGAAGGAAGCCUUGUUAAUAAGAUAAAUUAUACAUACAUAUAUACAUAUAUAGAUACAUAGAUAUGUAAAAAAAGAAACGCACUCGGUUUACAUGCAGUUCGUUCUUGUGUACAAUUGCAAAAAAAAAAAAAAAGAAAAAAUAUUGCAAUGCGCCCCAUCGCCAAACUCGCUCUUAGCCCACCACCGUUCACUUUUUUCUUUUGAAUUACAAAUCAAUAAAAAUUGGAUUAUUUCUAUACAUAUUUUGUUGUUGCGUCUUUCACAUAAAUAAAUAUCCAGUAGUGGUACUUAUACCUUUACAAUCAAUCACACCCGCCUCCGCACUGCUCUCAAUACUCGGCUAUUGUUCAACUACUGUUUAGUUGUGUGUGUGUGUGUUCUUUUUUUUGUCUUCAGCUUUUUUAUUAUUGAAGAAAUAUCUUGCAAAAAAAAAAAAAAGAGAAGAAAACAGGAGGAAUCUAAAAAACUGUGUUAAGAUUGAAACAUAAAUUACUUACGUAUGAGACAAUCUGUUGAAAUAUCAACGCUUAUAAAAUAAGUGGCGUAACAUCUUAGAGAGGUAAGUGGGAUUGACAGUCAGAUUAAAUUAGAUUAGCUUUACGGCAAUUAAAGAAAUAUACAUUACAAAAACAAAAAAAAAAAGCGCUCGCUUGUCUAUCAAUUAGACUAAAAAAGACUAUCUUAGAAGAUUUGAAAAAAUUUUUUAAAAAACCUAAACAUUUCUGUGUGAAAAGUCUUUGAGUGUAUAGUAACCUAAGAAAGGUGACUUCAUUUUUUUUUUUUUUUUUUUUUUGAAUGGAAGAAAGUUAAUAGAAUAAUAAUAACAUUUUUGAGUAUUUUUCUAAGUACAAAUUACGAGAAAUUGUCUUUGAACAGGUAAGAGCACCAUAGGGGACAAGGCCCGCCAUUAAAUUCCUUAUAUCGUAGUAUGGGUAUUCAGGUAACAGGUUUUUGAAAAGGAGGCGUAGGAUGGAAAGUGAUUGUCGAAAACGCGGUCUGAUCCGAUCUACUCGAAGCUGCGUUCGUGUACCAAGUCUCUUCAAAUUGUCGCACAAAUUGCGGCCUGUACAUUGAAUACAAGAAAACCAGGCGGACACAAGAUGAGCAAAGGAAAUCACAUGUGAUUCAGAAAGUGAAUCUGAAUCGAUCGGUGUAACAAGAGCUGGGUCUUUCUCAACUCCUUCUAGACGUUGUGUAUAUGCGCAUAAAAUGCACACACACUUGCACCACAAGUAGAAUAUAACAACGCUGCUCUCUUUCGCGCAAGGGAUUUUUACGGCCCAUAAAGUAGCUCAUGAAAAUUUUAAUGUAAAAAAAAAA